rnacentral:rRNA from 1 species
AGCGGAGGGGUUCCACACGUACCCAUCCCGAACACGACCGUUAAGCCCUCCAGCGCCGAUGGUACUUGGACCGCAGGAUCCUGGGAGAGUAGGACGUUGCCAUGC